rnacentral:lncRNA from 1 species
CAUUGGCAUUAAACGCAGCCCCUGUGCCCUCAGGAGUGAGAAUAAGGACUUAACUGCUAUUGCUGCUGUUCAUGCAGCAGCCUUAAAGGUUCGGUUUGGACUCGCACUCUUUGGCCCAUCUGGAGGCGAUUUCUGCAAAGUCUGUUCUCUGAAUCGGUCCAAUUCAUCAUCCACGUGAUGCUGUGGUGCUAUCUGCGGUAAAAUCAAGAUGUGGCACCCAUGUGAAACUAGAGGGAAUGAGAAGGGAGUUUGCAAAUGCAACAAU